AAAACUGAACAGUCCACCGGUGCCCGCAAGGGCUUGAUAGGGAAGAGGGGUGCAAAUCCCCCGCGGACCCGCCGCUGUGAGCGAGGACGAAGGGCCGGAUACCACUGAUCGAACGGAUCGGGAAGGCGGCCUGGAGGAUGAAUCGCGAGCCAGAAGACCUGCCGGUCGGACACCCCCACG
rnacentral:ncRNA from 1 species